GGCACCGGCACGUGCACUACUCGCCCCCAGGCCCCAGGGCGGAAGAUCCGGGUCUCACUGCACGAAUCUGGCACCACCACCACCGGCACCGCCACGCACCGCACAAGAUUCACCCAGCCGUUUGCACUGCUUUGCUCGCCAUCGAUCUCGCGCGGCCGCGACGACUGUCUCGCACUGUCGGCUCUCUCGUCUCUCCCCCUUCCUCCUCUUCCUCUCGGUCCCGCGCGCGUCAACUUCUCCGCUUUGCCGCAUUCCUCCGCGCCCCUCAGAUCUCCGCUGACUCCGCCGCCGCCCGCCGACAUGUCGUCCCGCGGCGGCGAGGACGACGACCACGCCUCGCUCCUCAGAUCCCACCCCGCGGCCGGCGCCGGCGCCGGGUCCGGCUCAUCGUCGCCGUGCCCAUCUCCGCGGGCUGUCGGUGGCCACCACCACAACCAGCACGCGGACGUCGAGGCGGUGGGGGAGGCCACCGUCACCGCCUCCCCGAGGCGGAGCGGCGGCGUGCGUGGCCUCCUGCGGCACCUCGACCGCCGCCUCUCCGCGCGCGGAUCCGGGGGGCGUCGAAGCCAGCAGCCGCCGCAGCAGCUCGAUCGCCCCGAGCCGUCCCCGACGUCGUCGCCGCAGCAGAGGGAGAGGGUCGGGGAGGAGCUCGGGGAUGGGGCGCCGCCGGAGUGGGCGCUGCUGCUCAUCGGCUGCCUCCUCGGGCUCGCCACCGGCAUUUGCGUCGCCGCGUUUAACCGUGGGGUUCAUGUCAUCCAUGAAUGGGCUUGGGCAGGUACCCCAAAUGAAGGUGCAGCUUGGCUCCGCCUUCAGAGGCUAGCUGAUACUUGGCACAGAAUACUGCUGAUCCCUGUGACAGGAGGCGUUGUUGUAGGAAUGAUGCAUGGGUUGCUUGAGAUAUUUGAUCAGCUCAAACUCGUGAAACCGCCUCAGAAACAAGGAAUCAAUUUCCUUGCGGCAAUCUUUCCAACUGUAAAUGCUGUCCAGGCUGCUGUAACUCUAGGUACUGGUUGCUCACUGGGGCCUGAAGGUCCUAGUGUGGAUAUUGGCAAAUCAUGUGCAAAUGGGUGCUCGGAAAUGAUGGAGAAUAACAGGGAGAGGCGGAUUGCUCUUGUAGCUGCUGGUGCUGCUGCUGGAAUUGCUUCAGGCUUCAAUGCAGCAGUUGCUGGGUGUUUCUUUGCCAUUGAAACUGUACUGAGGCCACUGAAAGCAGAAAAUUCACCUCCUUUUACAACUGCAAUGAUAAUAUUGGCUUCUGUUAUAUCAUCUACUGUGUCAAAUGUUCUGCUUGGAGAAAGGCCAGCUUUUAUAGUGCCAGCGUAUGAGCUAAAAUCUGCUGCCGAGCUACCUUUAUAUCUCAUCUUAGGAAUGCUUUGUGGAGCGGUCAGUGUGGUAUUUGGCCGGUUGGUUGUAUGGUUUUCGAAUUUUUUUGGAUACUUAAAAGAAAGAUACGAUUUUCCUAUUGUAGUAUACCCUGCUUUGGGUGGACUGGGAGCUGGCCUCAUAGCUCUCAAAUAUCCUGGCAUUCUAUACUGGGGUUUCACAAAUGUUGAAGAAAUACUACAUACUGGGAAAAGUGCUUCUGCUCCUGGUAUAUGGUUGUUAACUCAGCUUGCAGCUGCAAAGGUAGUUGCAACUGCCCUUUGCAAGGGAUCUGGCCUUGUGGGUGGGCUAUAUGCACCAAGCCUAAUGAUUGGGGCUGCUGUUGGAGCUGUUUUUGGAGGGUCAGCUGGAUAUUUGAUAAAUUCUGCUGUACCUGGUAAUGCUGCUGUUGCACAGCCACAAGCUUAUGCUCUAGUUGGAAUGGCUGCUACACUAGCUUCAGUCUGUUCAGUCCCACUGACCUCAGUGCUGCUUCUCUUUGAACUGACAAAGGACUACAGGAUUUUGCUUCCUCUCAUGGGAGCAGUUGGGUUAGCAAUCUGGGUUCCUUCUGUAGUAAACCAAUCAAAGGAUGGUGAACCAUCUAGGUUUAGAACACCCAGGCGUGGUUAUUCUUCACUUUCUUCAGAAGAUAGAAAUAGUAAAAGCUGGAGGCGAGGUGACAGUGUAAAUGAUCUUGAGCUCACUAGCUUACGGACUGAUAACUAUGACACCUAUAAUGAGGAAAUGCUUCUAGAUGAUUUGAAGGUCUCCCAGGCCAUGUCAAAGAGCUAUGUUAAAAUUCCAACAUCUGCCAUGGUGACAGAAGCUCUCAAGCUUUUGCAUGAUAAGCAGCAAAAUUGCGGCCUUGUUGUGGAUUGUGAAGAUUUUCUCGAAGGAAUUGUUACAUUAGGGGAUAUUCGCCGUAUGGGAUUUGAAUUACAUGGGGACAGUUUCACAAGUGGAGACCAGCUCAAGCCCGCUGUACGUUUGAAUGGAAAAUUCUUCAACCAUAUCAUUGUGUCUUACUCGAGGAUUCCAGUACGAGGGGAAUGAACGUGGAUUGCUAACCUGCUUUCCUGAUACUGAUUUGACCACUGCAAAAAACCUUAUGGAGGCCAGAGGAAUAAAGCAGCUGCCUGUCGUGAAGCGUGGUGUCGGCCAUAGAACUGAAGGAAAACGCAAGCUUAUUGCUCUUCUACAUUAUGAUUCUAUUGGUCACUGCUUACGGGAGGAAAUUGAGAACUGGAAGGCCAUAUAUCAAAUAAAAGAGGACUUCCAUCUCAUAGCAAAUGGGCAUUGAACAGCAUUACAUUGACCAAUAUUACACCACAUCAAUCGCAUGCAAUUUGAUAUCCUUAAGGCAUUUUUGCCAAAUGGGGAUACAGGAGGUAUACACGAAGUUCAACUUGUACAGAUUUGAGGCUCCUCUACAAAGAAUUAAAUUGCCAUCUGAGGAAAUUAUUCAGGCUAGCUAGCCAAUUUUGCAAUAGAGGUUAUGGUCCAUUCUUGUUGCGAAGCAACUUCUACUUCACACGGGAGGAGAUGGGUAUGUAUGAAUUCAGUUAUUCAGAAUUGGAAAGUGGCAUUGUAAUGUAUAUCUUGUACCUGUACUAUUUGUAACUGUGUAACAUCCUGUUGCUGGGAAGCAUCAUAUGCGCCAGCUUGUAGAGGUGCAGUCACACGAGAAACUAGUGUAAUAAAGUGUGCAGCAGAAAAUUUUGUCAAGAAGCCGAUGUUGUAGGUUGUAGCGUCACAUUGUAUGUAACACUUUAUAUCAGCACUUGAACUGAAUUUCUCCCUUUCCGUGCAGUUACAUAAAGCUUGCAGAGCAAAGUUGCUUUAUCACCA